CAGUAGCCACGGUAAAACGGAGGGUGCAAGCGUUAAUCGGAAUUACUGGGCGUAAAGCGUGCGUAGGCGGUUCGUUAAGUCUGUUGUGAAAGCCCCGGGCUCAACCUGGGACCUGCAUUUGUGACUGUAUAGCUAGAGUACGGUAGAGGGGGAUGGAAUUCCGCGUGUAGCAGUGAAAUGCGUAGAUAUGCGGAGGAACACCGAUGGCGAAGGCAAUCCCCUGGACCUGUACUGACGCUUAUGCACGAAAGCGUGGGGAGCAAACAGGAUUAGAUACCCCCGUAGUCCCUGUCUCUUAUAA
rnacentral:rRNA from 1 species